rnacentral:lncRNA from 1 species
AAUCCGGAUUCAGGACUGUGCGAACCUCCUUCAGUGAACUCUACACUGUAGAAUCCUUGUUCCAUGUGGGCAAACCUGAGUGGAUCACUACAUGUUACUGCGCUUGUUAUUACCAACCAUGUCACCAAGAACGGUUAAUAACCCUUUUUGAUGAUCUACCGAUGGAGCGCUGCAUAGUGACAUGGUUACGAUCGGGCUGCGAUUCAUUUAGAUAUAGCACUAUUGUGAAGAACGUGUGCAAACAUGAAGUGCUGAAUUUGAUGAAUGAGUAAGCUGCAGAGAGAAAUGACAAGUAUGCACAAUAUAUGUCCAUUAGUGAUGUGAUUGAAUUGUGAGUUCCUUUGUUAAUCAAGGUAUAAUGCAUUGUCAUUUGUAAAUUGAUGGUUU